rnacentral:rRNA from 1 species
GACGAACGCUGGCGGCGUGCCUUAUACAUGCAAGUAGAACGCUGAAGAGAGGAGCUUGCUCUUCUUGGAUGAGUUGCGAACGGGUGAGUAACGCGUAGGUAACCUGCCUUGUAGCGGGGGAUAACUAUUGGAAACGAUAGCUAAUACCGCAUAACAAUGGAUGACACAUGUCAUUUAUUUGAAAGGGGCAAUUGCUCCACUACAAGAUGGACCUGCGUUGUAUUAGCUAGUAGGUGAGGUAAUGGCUCACCUAGGCGACGAUACAUAGCCGACCUGAGAGGGUGAUCGGCCACACUGGGACUGAGACACGGCCCAGACUCCUACGGGAGGCAGCAGUAGGGAAUCUUCGGCAAUGGGGGCAACCCUGACCGAGCAACGCCGCGUGAGUGAAGAAGGUUUUCGGAUCGUAAAGCUCUGUUGUAAGUCAAGAACGGGUGUGAGAGUGGAAAGUUCACACUGUGACGGUAGCUUACCAGAAAGGGACGGCUAACUACGUG